rnacentral:rRNA from 1 species
AGUGAACGCUGGCGGUAGGCCUAACACAUGCAAGUCGAACGGCAGCACAGUAAGAGCUUGCUCUUACGGGUGGCGAGUGGCGGACGGGUGAGGAAUACAUCGGAAUCUACUUUUUCGUGGGGGAUAACGUAGGGAAACUUACGCUAAUACCGCAUACGACCUACGGGUGAAAGCAGGGGAUCUUCGCACCUUGCGCGAUUGAAUGAGCCGAUGUGGUAUUAGCUAGUUGGCGGGGUUAAGGCCCACCAAGGCGACGAUCGGUUGCUGGUCUGAGAGGAUGAUCGCCCGCACUGGAAGUGGACCACGGUCCAUGCUCCUAAGGGAGGCAGCAGUGGGGAAUGGUGGACAGUGGGCGCAAGCCUGGUCCAGCCAUACCGCGUGGGUGAAGAAGGCCUUCGGGUUGUAAAGCCCUUUUGUUGGGAAAAAAAAGCAGCAGGUUAAUACCCCGCUGUUCUGACGGUACCCAAAGAAUAAGCACCGGCUAACUUCGUG